AACGUAGGUUCCGAGCGUUAUCCGGAUUUACUGGGCGUAAAGCGCGUUCAGGCGGUUUGGCAAGUCGGGCAUGAAAUCUCUCGGCUCAACCGGGAGAGGUUGUCCGAUACUGCUGGACUUGAGGGCAGUAGAGGGUGGUGGAAUUCCGGGUGUAGUGGUGAAAUGCGUAGAUAUCGGGAAGAACACCCGUGGCGAAGGCGGCUCUCUGGGACGGUACUGACGCUGAGACGCGAAAGCGUGGGGAGCGAACAGG
rnacentral:rRNA from 1 species